CCCUCAGUAACUGCGAGUGAAAAGGGAAAAGCCCAGCGCCGAAGCCGCCGUCCAUCGCAAUGGGCGGAAAGGCAAUGUGGCGUUAAGGACGAACCUCUUUGACCAGACGUUUCGUUGACCGAACCGCGGAAGCCCGAGUCCCCCUGACCGGGGCCACAGCCCAUGGCGGGUGCAAGGCCUCUUCGGCUUCGUUCGACGGUUCGGAGGUUGCUGGUUCGAUCCUCAGAGUCGGGUUGCUUGAGAGUGCAGCUCUAAGUGGGUGGUAAACUCCACCUAAGGCUAAAUAUGACCACGAGACCGAUAGCGAACAAGUACCGUGAGGGAAAGUUGCAAAGAACUUUGAAGAGAGAGUUCAAGAGUACGUGAAACCGCUCGGAGGCAAACGGAUGGGUCCUCGAAGGUCGAACGGGGGAAUUCAGCGCGUCGGCUAACAAACAAAACACGCUCUCCCUAAUGUGGCUUAAAAGCAUUCGUGCGAAACGGAUCCUCUUCCAAAGGGACCGGGCUGCAGGGUUGCGUGAGCUGGCACGUGCACUUUCCCCUCAGUAGGACGCCGCGACCGGUCGGGUCAAUAAUACAAAAAAGUCAGCGGCCAUAAGGCGAGAUCUAAACGAGGAAGGUGUCCGUUACCGUUUAAGGUCUCUCUCCGCGCGUUUUAAACACGCUGCGGUCUGAACCACGGUCGGAGUUACAGCCUCUUCUCGACCUGUGCCCCGACACCCGACCGACAAAUGGUCACGAAUCCGUUGACGCGUGCCCGCGUAAACGUGAACGCGUGUGUAAAAAACACGCGCGAACGGGAGCGCUCGCCCUAGUCCCGGGCAGGCAGGAUGUGUCGAGUAAAAAUUCCUUCAAUUUCCCGUCACACGGAAAUAGGAAUCCGAUCGACGCCGGUCAAAAAACCAAAAAGGCGGCUUUCGGCUCCGCGUCCGCCGUUACGCCCACGGGGAAGAGCAAUCUGGCGAAGUGGCAAGCUCGCGGUCGGCGGCGAGUAGNNNNNNNNNNNNNNNNNNNNNNNNNNNNNNNNNNNNNNNNNNNNNNNNNNNNNNNNNNNNNNNGGGUCUGGCUUCUAACCAAAGCUAAACCCGAAGGCGAAAUGAAAGUGAAGGUCCGCUCCUAAAAAAAGCGACCGAGGCGAGAUCCUAAAAAAUUAUAACCGGAUACAAUAGGCGCGUUCGUCUCUCCUUUUUUAAAGGGGGGCAAACGGUCCGGAGGCGCAUCGCCGGCCCGUCUCGACCGCAUCCCUUCUCGUCGCCAUUCGUAUUACGAAGAGGCACGCGCUUUUUCUUUUUCUCUUUUUUUUUUUCUUUCCUUCUUGCCGCUCGCGCGGUAGGAUGGUUCGAGAAGGAAGAGGGACGGGGAGAAGUUAGCGUGGCGAUUCUGCCGAGUGGUUUUCGACGGUCGGGAAUCUGUGUCGGUGAGGCGGAGCAAGAGCACACACGUUGGGACCCGAAAGAUGGUGAACUAUGCUCGGGCAGGACGAAGCCAGAGGAAACUCUGGUGGAAGUCCGCAGCGAUUCUGACGUGCAAAUCGAUCGUCGGACCUGAGUAUAGGGGCGAAAGACUAAUCGAACCGUCUAGUAGCUGGUUCCCUCCGAAGUUUCCCUCAGGAUAGCUGGCGCUCGUACGAAACAAAGAAAGAGACAAAACAGUCUCAUCCGGUAAAGCGAAUGAUUAGAGGCAUUGGGGCCGAAACGGCCUCAACCUAUUCUCAAACUUUCAAUGGGUGAGAUGUCCGACUUGCUCGAAAAAAUUUUUUGAAGCGCGGACAUAGGAUGCGAGUGCCCAGUGGGCCACUUUUGGUAAGCAGAACUGGCGCUGUGGGAUGAACCAAAAGCCGGGUUACGGCGCCCGAUGCGGACGCUUAUCAGACCCCAUGAAAGGUGUUGGUUGCUAUAGACAGCAGGACGGUGGCCAUGGAAGUCGGAAUCCGCUAAGGAGUGUGUAACAACUCACCUGCCGAAGCAACUAGCCCUGAAAAUGGAUGGCGCUCCAGCGUCGAGCCUAACCCCGGCCGUCGGCGGCAAAACAAAUUGACUUUUAUUCAAAUAAAAUCAAUGCCCCGACGAGUAGGAGGGUCGCGGUGGCGUGCGUUGAAGGGAUCGGGCGCGAGCUCACCUGGAGCCGCCACCGGUGCAGAUCUUGGUGGUAGUAGCAAAUACUCGAGUGAGAACCUUGAGGACUGAAGUGGAGAAGGGUUCCAUGUGAACAGCAGUUGAACAUGGGUCAGUCGGCCCUAAGGAAUAGGGGAAACCCGUUCCGAAAAACCGGAAUGCAAAUUUAAACAUUAACAAAAAAUUUGACCGGUGACGACCGAAAGGGAAUCGGGUUAAUAUUCCCGAACCCGGAUGCGGAGAUCGAUCUUCUUCUCUUGUCCUUUAAUCGGGACGGAGGAAAGGUCUAAAGCGGUAACGCGUAACGAACUCGGAGAAUGCCGGCGGGGGCCUCGGGAAGAGUUUUCUUUUCUUUGUAAAGGACGGACUCCCUGGAAUCGGCUCGCCCGGAGAGAGGGAUGUUGUUCCUGUAAAGCACCGCGGCUCUUGCGGUGUCCGAAGCGCUCUCGUCGGCCCUUGAAAAUCCGAGGGAGUGAAUAAUGAUUUCCGCACCGGACCGUACCCAUAUCCGCAGCAG
rnacentral:rRNA from 1 species